GUGGGGAAUAUUGGACAAUGGGCGCAAGCCUGAUCCAGCCAUGCCGCGUGAGUGAUGAAGGCCCUAGGGUUGUAAAGCUCUUUCACCGGUGAAGAUAAUGACGGUAACCGGAGAAGAAGCCCCGGCUAACUUCGUGCCAGCAGCCGCGGUAAUACGAAGGGGGCUAGCGUUGUUCGGAAUUACUGGGCGUAAAGCGCACGUAGGCGGACAUUUAAGUCAGGGGUGAAAUCCCGGGGCUCAACCCCGGAACUGCCUUCGAUACUGGGUGUCUGGAGUAUGGAAGAGGUAAGUGGAAUUCCGAGUGUAGAGGUGAAAUUCGUAGAUAUUCGGAGGAACACCAGUGGCGAAGGCGGCUUACUGGUCCAUUACUGACGCUGAGGUGCGAAAGCGUGGGGAGCAAACAGGAUUAGAAACCCCUGUAGUCC
rnacentral:rRNA from 1 species